AGUGAACGCUGGCGGCAGGCCUAACACAUGCAAGUCGAACGGCAGCACAGUAAGAGCUUGCUCUUACGGGUGGCGAGUCGCGGACGGGUGAGGUAUACAUCGGAAUCUACUUUUUCGUGGGGGAUACCGUAGGGAAACUUACGCUAAUACCGCAUACCACCUACGGGUGAAAGCAGGGGAUCUUCGGACCUUUCGCGAUUGAAUGAGCCGAUGUCGGAUUAGCUAGUUGGCGGGGUAAAGGCCCACCAAGGCGACGAUCCGUAGCUGGUCUGAGAGGAUGAUCAGCCACACUGGAACUGAGACACGGCCCAGACUCCUACGGGAGGCAGCAGUGGGGAAUAUUGGACAAUGGGCGAAAGCCUGAUCCAGCCAUGCCGCGUGUGUGAAGAAGGCCUUCGGGUUGUAAAGCCCUUUUGUUGGGAAAGAAAAGCAGCAGGUUAAUACAGCGCUGUUCUGACGGUACCCGAAGAAUAAGCACCGGCUAACUUCGUG
rnacentral:rRNA from 1 species